GCUGGUCUUUUGCUACCUAUCAGACAGAUGAGAGCUGCAGGGUUGCAUUCUGAGCUUCUUAGGAAAUACAGAUUUUAAUUUUCUGAUAUGGUUGAUGAAACCUACAUAUGGGCCCCUUUUCUUUAGGUGAAAUGACUGGUUAGUAAACAUCCUGCCCUUUCAGAAGCAGUGAUGACUAUACCUUGAUAGACUAGAUGUAUGCAUAUUUUCACCAUGUACUUGCUAUACAAAGAGAUAAGCAGGACUGUGUACUGGCUGCAGGAGUAUUCAGAGUCAGGUUUGCUGCAUUGAUCAGCAGAGCUUGUAAAUGCAGGACUGGCAUCACUGUGGUGUACCAUACAGAUAACUGACUCCCACAUGGGAAGAUGUGCCUCCUUAAAGAGGUAAAGCUGGCUGGUGCUGCUGUGUUGUUGGCAAAUGAGAGGAGAGGAGGCAGUGGCAUACAAACAGAACUAUUGUACUUGGUGAAACUACACGUCUGCCUUUGCUAUGUAGCUCAUCUUGCAUCUGUGUGUGUGUGUGCAAUGGGCAAUAUGGACAAGAUUAUAACAGCAGGACUAGUAUACUCUCAUACUAGUUAAUAUAAUUCUUCUUGAACAUGACAGCUUGUGGGAUUUGAUGAAGAAGUUGUAUACAUGUGGUCAUGAUCGAUUUCUUCCAUUCUUUUCAGUGCUCCAUUUUUUUCUUUUUUUCUUUUUUUAGUCUUUUUAGCUUUCACAGCAUCCUAGGGCAAUGAGGUCCGUAACUGACUUACUGCUAUAUGGAAGAACUCUACAUUAUGUUUGCUUUCUUCUGAUUAUCCUCCAGGUCUCAUAUUAUAAGAAAUGUUCAUCAUCCCCCAGCAUCCUAUAAGUGAGGUGAGGGAUCCCAUGGACAAUUCCAUCCACACAGUAGAAGUACAUGUACAAAGGAAGCAUAGAAUCAUGGAAUCAUCUGGGUUGGAAAAGACCUUUAAGAUCACCAAGUCCAGCCAACAACCUGACCUAUCAAGACCCAUCACUAAACCAUGUCCCUUCAUUCCACAUCCGCAUAUCUCUGUGUCUCCAGACUGGUGCUGCAGAAACUCUAAUGCUUGAUAGGAGCAAUGCUGACAGUAAUGCACUGCUUUCAUUACAAUAGGAAGACCAUCAGAUAUCUGGUGUAACAUCUCAGAGGAUUCGGCUGAGAUGUUUUACUGAUUGCAACAUGUUCACAAGACUCCUUCACAGUGCUGAAACUGUCCACCUGUCACAAUGAUGAAACAACCCAUGUUUGUCUAGUUCUUGGCAAUUGGAAUCCAACCAGGGACAGCUUGAAAACUAAAAUUUUUUCAGUUAAAAAAAAGCUUUUCUUGGAGAAUGUGGGUUGACUGAACCCUUCCAGUAGGACUUAGCUGGGAAAAAUUUACCCCUACAAAUUAUCAACAACUGCAAAGCAUAUGAGUCAGUUGAAAUGUAAAUGAACUCAUUAUCAAUCUCUACGAGCUUCUGAUUUAAGAUUUGAAAGAAAAAAUGGCCCACAUAUAACAGUACAAGAAUGGAUUGCAUAACUAUGUUUGUUAAGUCCCCCUCUGCAGACCUAUCUGAGGUCCAGACGUUUGCAGUGUCCUGAAAAAAAAAGUCCUGCAGAGCUAAGAGUAAAAUAUGUUAAUAUUCAGCAGUGAUGUAGACUCUCCACUGCUGUCUCCCAGGUGGAAUUCCUUUGGAGCUACUAAAUAUGAAGACCAUGCUUACGGACACAAAAGAAGAAAUAAUCACUGGGACACUCUAAGCAUUACUGAGGUGUAGGCAAAAAUUAUUGAACUUCACAAUUUCAUGAGCUGAUUUAUUUCCUCUUUUAUGUCACUUUCUCUAUUUCUGUGGCUGUUAAUAGAGUAAAUAAAUGCUAGAACCUUAGAAGUAUUGACGUUAGUACAUUUUGUGUAUUUCAAAACUCUCUGCCAGAAAGUAUUUCUGUUGCUACACGUGAAUUCGACUAAUCCAAGAGUGGACUCCACAGAGGAUAGUCUUUACUCUAUGAGGCUUGAGAUUUGACUGAAGUCAGCUAGUACAUCAUCACUGUUGUCAGUAGCUUAUCUGACUUUUCUCAGUUAACAGAGCAUGGGAUUAAACAGACACACUAGAAAUUCUGCACAAGGCUAUAUGGUCCUUUAGCUGUAUUUUCUAAGUUACUUAAGACAUUGUAGCUGUGUCAAAACAUAGUAGGUACCAGGAUGUAUUCCAAGCACUCCAUUAUUC
ensembl:lncRNA